GAUGAACGCUGGCGGCGUGCCUAAUACAUGCAAGUCGAGCGAAUGGAUUAAGAGCUUGCUCUUAUGAAGUUAGCGGCGGACGGGUGAGUAACACGUGGGUAACCUGCCCAUAAGACUGGGAUAACUCCGGGAAACCGGGGCUAAUACCGGAUAACAUUUUGAACCGCAUGGUUCGAAAUUGAAAGGCGGCGUCGGCUGUCACCUAUGGCUGGACCCGCGUCGCAUUAGCUAGUUGGUGAGGUAACGGCUCACCAAGGCAACGAUGCGUAGCCGACCUGAGAGGGUGAUCGGCCACACUGGGACUGAGACACGGCCCAGACUCCUACGGGAGGCAGCAGUAGGGAAUCCUCCGCAAUGGACGAAAGUCUGACGGAGCAACGCCGCGUGAGUGAUGAAGGCUUUCGGGUCGUAAAACUCUGUUGUUAGGGAAGAACAAGUGCUAGUUGAAUAAGCUGGCACCUUGACGGUACCUAACCAGAAAGCCACGGCUAACUACGUGCCAGCCGCCGCCGUAA
rnacentral:rRNA from 1 species